GGAUGAUAAGUUAUGGGGGCUUCUGUAGAGAUUUCUAUGAGAACAUCUCUAAAGAACUCCCCCAAACUGAAUUC
rnacentral:miRNA from 1 species